CAAAAAUUUUGUGACUUCGAGAAACUUUGUACAAUCAAUCAACGAAACUAGAAUUCCAUAAUCAUAAGAGAAGAGUUAUGAAGCCCAAUCAGUAUAUUAAAGUAAGACUGACAUAAUUACAUUAGAUUCAGGUACAAGGUUCAAGACAGAGAACUCUAAAUUCCGCUUCCUAAAACUAAAUGAAGAACCUAGAGCUAAAAUCCUAAAAACUGCAAAAAAAUUCACGAGUCUUUCGAAUCACCAAACCAUCCUGAAAAUGGCAGAGAUUAACCCCUUGUGUUUCUCCUCAUUAUUCUGGGCACUAGAAGACCAAUGGAGUUGUUCAAACUCUGGAGUUGAAGCUCUUGUUCAAGUUUGAAAUCCAGAGCUCAAGCUAGCUGAACCUGAAACCGCAAAAACAGAUUGAUAACAACACAGUAUGCCAAACUAACAAUAUCCUUAAUCAACACACCCUAACUUCCAAAACAAAUUCUCAUUCCAUAGCAUUAUACCAUAUUGAACACCGAAAACAAUACGAAAGAACUCAAAUUGAUAUACAUUUCCUCCUCACUAACACUUUUACUAAGCUUAGCAGUUGGAGGAGCCCUUAAGUUCAAGAACGUGAAGGUAGCUGCAAUGGCACCACAAUCUAACUAGCUAAAACAAGCUUAUUGUAGAAAAAGCACUAAACUAGUAGUAGUAAUAUAUGCUUGUUCAACAGCAGCAACUGUAGUCGAAAUAAUAAACAAGAGAAAGCUCUAGUGUCUGUCUACCAAUGCGCAAACUCCAGAAAAUGUCGUUGUACAACCACCGCAAGCGGGGGAAGUGCAAUGACUUACUCGAUCAACGACUCGCAACCGAUGGACCGCAGAGAGAGAGGCUGAAUCUGAAUUUGGGUAUUCAUCUCCGUCGGGUUCCCGCCGCGGGACACGGCGAAGAUCGAUGUAGGGAUUGAUCCCGGGAAAUCGGUGACUGGCCCAAGUAGUGUUAUGGGCUUAAUGUGGGCUUUCAUAAAUGAUGGGUUAUGUCUAGUAAUAGGCCCUUCUUUCAGGUAUCCACGGGUUUUCGGGUUUUACCGACCCGGAUGGGAUU
rnacentral:lncRNA from 1 species